AGAGUUUGAUCAUGGCUCAGGACGAACGCUGGCGGCGUGCUUAACACAUGCAAGUCGAACGAUGAAGCCUUUCGGGGUGGAUUAGUGGCGAACGGGUGAGUAACACGUGGGUAACCUGCCCUUGGCUUUGGGAUAAGCCCUAGAAAUGGGGUCUAAUACCGGAUAUGACUACUUCACGCAUGUGGGGUGGUGGAAAGUUCCGGCGGCCAGGGAUGGGCCCGCGGCCUAUCAGCUUGUUGGUGGGGUAACAGCCUACCAAGGCGACGACGGGUAGCCGGCCUGAGAGGGCGACCGGCCACACUGGGACUGAGACACGGCCCAGACUCCUACGGGAGGCAGCAGUGGGGAAUAUUGCACAAUGGGCGAAAGCCUGAUGCAGCGACGCCGCGUGAGGGAUGACGGCCUUCGGGUUGUAAACCUCUUUCGACAGGGACGAAGCGCAAGUGACGGUACCUGUAGAAGAAGCACCGGCUAACUACGUGCCAGCAGCCGCGGUAAUACGUAGGGUGCGAGCGUUGUCCGGAAUUAUUGGGCGUAAAGAGCUCGUAGGCGGUUUGUCGCGUCGACUGUGAAAACUGGGGGCUUAACUCUCAGCUUGCAGUCGAUACGGGCAGACUUGAGUUCGGUAAGGGAGACUGGAAUUCCUGGUGUAGCGGUGAAAUGCGCAGAUAUCAGGAGGAACACCGGUGGCGAAGGCGGGUCUCUGGGCCGAUACUGACGCUGAGGAGCGAAAGCGUGGGGAGCGAACAGGAUUAGAUACCCUAGUAGUCC
rnacentral:rRNA from 1 species